rnacentral:rRNA from 1 species
UCAGAGGCGAUGAAGGGCGUGCUAAUCUGCGAUAAGCGCCGGUAAGGUGAUAUGAACCGUUAUAACCGGCGAUACCCGAAUGGGGAAACCCAGUGUGACUCGUCACACUAUCAUUAACUGAAUCCAUAGGUUAAUGAGGCGAACCGGGGGAACUGAAACAUCUAAGUACCCCGAGGAAAAGAAAUCAACCGAGAUUCCCCCAGUAGCGGCGAGCGAACGGGGAGGAGCCCAGAGCCUGAAUCAGCAUGUGUGUUAGUGGAAGCGUCUGGAAAGGCGCGCGAUACAGGGUGACAGCCCCGUACACAAAAGCGCAUGUGCUGUGAGCUCGAUGAGUAGGGCGGGACACGUGGUAUCCUGUCUGAAUAUGGGGGGACCAUCCUCCAAGGCUAAAUACUCCUGACUGACCGAUAGUGAACCAGUACCGUGAGGGAAAGGCGAAAAGAACCCCGGCGAGGGGAGUGAAAAAGAACCUGAAACCGUGUACGUACAAGCAGUGGGAGCACCCUUUGGGUGUGACUGCG